UACGUAGGGUGCAAGCGUUAAUCGGAAUUACUGGGCGUAAAGCGUGCGCAGGCGGUUUUGUAAGAAUGUCGUGAAAUCCCCGGGCUCAACCUGGGAAUGGCGAUGGUGACUGCAAGGCUAGAGUUUGGCAGAGGGGGGUAGAAUUCCACGUGUAGCAGUGAAAUGCGUAGAUAUGUGGAGGAACACCGAUGGCGAAGGCAGCCCCCUGGGUCAAAACUGACGCUCAUGCACGAAAGCGUGGGGAGCAAACAGG
rnacentral:rRNA from 1 species